UGCCAGCCGCCGCGGUAAUACGGAGGGUGCAAGCAUUGAUCGGAAUUAUUGGGCGUAAAGGGCGCGUAGGCGGCCAGGUAAGUCAGAUGUGAAAUUCCGGGGCUCAACCCCGGAGCUGCAUUUGAAACUGCCUGGCUAGAGUAUAGUUAGGGAAAACGGAAUUCCACGUGUAGCGGUGAAAUGCGUAGAUAUGUGGAGGAACACCAAACGCGAAGGCAUUCUGCUGGUCAUUACCUGACGCUGAGGGACGAAAGCGUGGGGAGCGAACGGGAUUAGAUA
rnacentral:rRNA from 1 species